GACGAACGCUGGCGGCGUGCCUAAUACAUGCAAGUCGAGCGAAUGACGAGAAGCUUGCUUCUCUGAUUUAGCGGCGGACGGGUGAGUAACACGUGGGCAACCUGCCCUACAGAUUGGGAUAACUCAGGGAAACCUGGGCUAAUACCGGAUAAUCCUUCGAAUCACAUGUUUUGAAGUUGAAAGGCGCUUCGGCGUCACUGUAGGAUGGGCCCGCGGUGCAUUAGCUAGUUGGUGGGGUAACGGCCUACCAAGGAAACGAUGCAUAGCCGACCUGAGAGGGUGAUCGGCCACAUUGGGACUGAGACACGGCCCAAACUCCUAUGGGAGGCAGCAGUAGGGAAUCUUCCACAAUGGACGAAAGUCUGAUGGAGCAACGCCGCGUGAGUGAUGAAGGUUUUCGGAUCGUAAAACUCUGUUGUAAGGGAAGAACAAGUACGUUAGGAAAUGAACGUACCUUGACGGUACCUUAUUAGAAAGCCACGGCUAACUACGUGCCAGCCGCCGCCGUAA
rnacentral:rRNA from 1 species